GACGAACGCUGGCGGCGUGCUUAACACAUGCAAGUCGAGCGGAAAGGCCCUUCGGGGUACUCGAGCGGCGAACGGGUGAGUAACACGUGAGUAACCUGCCCCAGACUUUGGGAUAACCCUCGGAAACGGGGGCUAAUACCGGAUACGACACAGCUUCGCAUGGGGUCUGGGUGGAAAGUUUUUCGGUUUGGGAUGGGCUCGCGGCCUAUCAGCUUGUUGGUGGGGUGAUGGCCUACCAAGGCGACGACGGGUAGCCGGCCUGAGAGGGCGACCGGCCACACUGGGACUGAGACACGGCCCAGACUCCUACGGGAGGCAGCAGUGGGGAAUAUUGCACAAUGGGCGGAAGCCUGAUGCAGCGACGCCGCGUGAGGGAUGACGGCCUUCGGGUUGUAAACCUCUUUCAGCAGGGACGAAGCGUAAGUGACGGUACCUGCAGAAGAAGCGCCGGCCAACUACGUG
rnacentral:rRNA from 1 species